CACAUUUAUAAACAUGGAUACCUGAUAAUAGAUAUUGAAACCCAUUUCCUGUGUGUUAAAAUAUUUAAAAAGUGAAUAUUCCAGGAAUGUUUUGCAGCUUUGUACAAGUAACAUAAAUUGGACACCUCAGAAUGAAAGUUCAUGUUGGUUCUGAAUGGUUCGCUGCAGCUCUUGUCACAGGCUGGGAUGGAUUUAUCACACUGAGUUGUGAAAUUACCUGGUUCUAAGAAUUUUUGAGUGGCAAAAAUAGAAAACAGUCUUCAUUUGAAAACAUCCCUAAGCUUGAAUAAAUGGAUACCAUAGAUAGCUUCUCUAAAACUAUGUUUUAGUCUGGUGUCAUUACCAGCACCUGAAUUUCAAGUUCUUAAAAUUUCAAAAAUUAAAAUUUUUCAUUAUUGGCUAUCCAUUGAUCUUUUGCAUGAACUUGUCAUGAACAAAUCCAAAUGUUUAUGCCAGCAAAUUUCUGUACUAUUACAUAGUGAAAAAUGCUG
rnacentral:lncRNA from 1 species